AUUGAACGCUGGCGGCAGGCCUAACACAUGCCAGUCGAGCGGAUGAAGGGAGCUUGCUCCUGGAUUCAGCGGCGGACGGGUGAGUAAUGCCUAGGAAUCUGCCUGGUAGUGGGGGAUAACGUCCGGAAACGGGCGCUAAUACCGCAUACGUCCUGAGGGAGAAAGUGGGGGAUCUUCGGACCUCACGCUAUCAGAUGAGCCUAGGUCGGAUUAGCUAGUUGGUGGGGUAAAGGCCUACCAAGGCGACGAUCCGUAACUGGUCUGAGAGGAUGAUCAGUCACACUGGAACUGAGACACGGUCCAGACUCCUACGGGAGGCAGCAGUGGGGAAUAUUGGACAAUGGGCGAAAGCCUGAUCCAGCCAUGCCGCGUGUGUGAAGAAGGUCUUCGGAUUGUAAAGCACUUUAAGUUGGGAGGAAGGGCAGUAAGUUAAUACCUUGCUGUUUUGACGUUACCAACAGAAUAAGCACCGGCUAAC
rnacentral:rRNA from 1 species